rnacentral:rRNA from 1 species
UACAGGGGGUGCAAACGUUGCUCGGAAUCAUUGGGCGUAAAGCGCACGUAGGCGGUUCGUUAUGUCGGAUGUGAAAGCCCUUGGCUUAACCGAGGAAGUGCAUCCGAAACUGGCGAGCUAGAGUACGAAAGAGGAUCGCGGAAUUCCUGGUGUAGCGGUGAAAUGCGCAGAUAUCAGGAGGAACACCAAUGGCGAAGGCAGCUCGCUGGAACGGUACUGACGCUGAGGCGCGAAAGCGUGGGGAGCGAACAGG